rnacentral:rRNA from 1 species
CCUACGGGUGGCAGCAGUAGGGAAUCUUUCACAAUGGGCGAAAGCCUGAUGGAGCAACGCCGCGUGCAGGAUGAAGGCCUUCGGGUUGUAAACUGCUUUUAUAAGCGAGAAAUAUGAUGGUAACUUAUGAAUAAGGAUCGGCUAACGACGUGACAGCAGCCGCGGUCAUACGUAGGAUCCGAGCAUUAUCCGGAGUGACUGGGUGUAAAGAGUUGCGUAGGUGGCAUAAUUAGUAGCUAGUGAAAUCUGGUGGCUCAACCAUUCAGACUAUUAGCUAAACUGUUAAGCUCGAGACCGUUAGGGGUAACUGGAAUUUCUAGUGUAGGAGUGAAAUCCGUAGAUAUUAGAAGGAACACCAAUAGCGUAGGCAGGUUGCUGGGACGGUUCUGACACUAAGGCACGAAAGCGUAGGGAGCAAACGGGAUUAGAUACCCCAGUAGUC